GAUGAACGCUGGCGGCGUGCCUAAUACAUGCAAGUCGAACGGAGGGUCGCAAGACCUUCAGUGGCGAACGGGUGAGUAACGCGUUGGUACCUGCCCCGAAGUGAGGGAUAACGGGACGAAAGUCUCGCUAAUACCCCAUGUGCUCCGCGAGGAGUAAAGGAGAAAUCCGCUUUGGGAGGGGCCUGCGUCCCAUCAGCUAGUUGGUAAGGUAACGGCUUACCAAGGCGAUGACGGGUAGGGGACCUGAGAGGGUGAACCCCCACAAUGGAACUGAGACACGGUCCAAACUCCUACGGGAGGCAG
rnacentral:rRNA from 1 species